CUAUUUUUAAUCUUUUGUCUGGAUAACUAUUAUUGAUUAAUGUGUUAAAAGUACGGAUAACUAUAAUUGUUACAGUUAAUAAUCGAAUUACUACUUUUACUUUUUGUCGUUUAUGUAAUUUAUAUUGCAUUUUUAAAUUAAAAACUGUUGCUAUCUUGUUAAUACUUUUGUGACUUUACUUUUCACAUGGUAAGGUUUAAAAAUUUAUUAAUCUAAUGCAUUUUAUUUCAUGAUGAGAUUAUGAUAAAAGUUUUAAGAACUGUAAGAUUAUCUCAACCAUGGAAUUUAAGAAUCUGUUUGAACUGAAUCAAAGGUGAACUUGUGUAUUAUACAAGUUUCGAUGGGUAUGGAGGUUAUUACUCUGUCUGGGAUUACUAUUACUCUGUGCUUUCUUUCAAUACGUUUUCAAAGUUCAAAUGGUGACGGAAAAAAGAGGUGAAUACAAGGGGAAAGAAGAGCAUGCAAAGUUUCCAAUGUAACUCUAAAUGAAUCAGCCGAAAGACAAGUUUUCUGGAAAAUGAUGUGAACCAUUGACAAAGGGAACAACAAUCUGUUUAUUAACAUGAACCCGAAACUCUGAGAGAUUUUGUAUUAUAACAAGUUUCUUUGGAUGGAACAAAGAAAGAGGAGAAUUUUUUUCUCCAAGAAAUAUCUCGCAACGUUUAUCCUGACGAGACCUGAAAGGUUAAAGAGGACACUCCUGGUAUCUAUCCACACACUAACUAUCAUGUGUACAUCAGUAAUAUAAUUUGGAGAGUCUGACAACCUUAAGGACAAUUUAUCUUGAAGAACGAUAAUAUUUUUGCGUUUUUUCUCAUUGAAAAUCCUAAGAAAUGAAUCUUACUUUUUCAACACAUCAUCUUCAUUAUUAUUAUUUGAAAGGUGCUAGCUUUAUUCUGACUGCUCCACAUGUAUGGUUAAUACAUGCAUUCUUCAUGUAACUUGAGGCUAAACAGAAAAAUAUGCAACUUGAAAUGGGCCAAAGAAAAGAAUGGUAUUGUCAUUGGUAUUUUCAACCAUCUCUUCUACCAUCCUAGGUUACCAUUGAACUAACGAUAAUAUUAAUGAGAGUAAUAAUGCAAUGUCACCGAACUUGUCUGAAGGAUUUCCGUUUCACUGAAAAAGAAAGGUAAAAAGCAUGUUACAAGAAGUGAACAAAGUGAAUCUCAAGUGCAAAACUUUUUUUUGCACAGGUUAAUUGAAUCACUUCCAUGGAGGAAUAACCACUCUCGCUGUCACUCAAAUCUCUUUCUCUCUCUUUCCUCUUCUUUCUUUAAAGCUCUCUCUCUCCCUUUCUGUGUGUGUAGAGUCAUGAUGAUAAGGAAAAGGCCAUUGAACUAUCUGAAAAACCAGUGGCACUUGUUAUACACCUUAAAAUGUUUAAAGCUCACUUUUUGUUUAUCUGUUUGCAUAUGAAAUUUUAGAUGAAAACAGGGAAGGCGGAAGAUAGAGCAAGACUUGAAUUUUUUAGUUCACUUGGCAUCGAGACUUGAUCCUAGGUCAUAUUGGCUUUAAUACAGUAAUGCUAUUUUAAUAAUAGCAACGCUAUUAAUAAUGGUCAUGGCUUGCGGUUAUUUGUCUUAAGGGAACCAGAAAAGUCUCAAGAACCCAAAAGAGAAAGAAGCUUAAGAGAAAAGGCUUUCUUUCUAAAAAUGAUGAGAUGUUGAAGACCACCUUUGUUGUUGUGGACAAGCCCGAAUCUCCGAAUCAAUGAGGAUGAUUGAUCGUCAUCAUUGCCGUCAUUUUACGUUGUUUUCUUAUUCAAGCCCACUAUUUAUCAUUUUGAACCAAAGUGAAGACGAAAAAAAAUAUGAUAAGAUUUUUUCAUUUCUUUCUCUCUCUCUUUCACUCUCUUGAAACGGCUCCAUCGUCAUUGGCCGUUAACAAUAAACAAUAGGAUCUCAAUGUGACCUGGUUGUACAAUUGUUAAGGUAAAAAUGCAUUUCAUUUUAGCUUUUUGUUUGUAGUUGAGCCAGUAAACAAGUAACAAUUGAAGAUGAAUCACCUUCCAAUGAGUAUAAAUUAAAUAGGAUAUUGAAUAGCAAACAAUUAAAU